rnacentral:rRNA from 1 species
GACGAACGCUGGCGGCGUGCCUAAUACAUGCAAGUAGAACGCUGAAGGAGGAGCUUGCUCUUCUGGAUGAGUUGCGAACGGGUGAGUAACGCGUAGGUAACCUGCCUGGUAGCGGGGGAUAACUAUUGGAAACGAUAGCUAAUACCGCAUAACAGUAGAUGUUGCAUGACAUUUACUUAAAAGGUGCAAUUGCAUCACUACCAGAUGGACCUGCGUUGUAUUAGCUAGUUGGUGGGGUAACGGCUCACCAAGGCGACGAUACAUAGCCGACCUGAGAGGGUGAUCGGCCACACUGGGACCGAGACACGGCCCAGACUCCUACGGGAGGCAGCAGUAGGGAAUCUUCGGCAAUGGACGGAAGUCUGACCGAGCAACGCCGCGUGAGUGAAGAAGGUUUUCGGAUCGUAAAGCUCUGUUGUAAGAGAAGAACGAGUGUGAGAGUGGAAAGCUCACACUGUGACGGUAUCUUACCAGAAAGGGACGGCUAACUACGUG